rnacentral:rRNA from 1 species
UACAGAGGGUGCGAGCGUUGUCCGGAAUCACUGGGCGUAAAGGGCGCGUAGGCGGCUUGAUAAGGUUGCGGUGAAAGCCCGGGGCUCAACCCCGGGUCGGCCGUGGCAACUGUCGAGCUGGAGCACUGUAGAGGCAGGUGGAAUUCCGGGUGUAGCGGUGGAAUGCGUAGAGAUCCGGAAGAACACCGGUGGCGAAGGCGGCCUGCUGGGCAGUAGCUGACACUGGGGCGCGACAGCGUGGGGAGCAAACAGG